rnacentral:rRNA from 1 species
GACAGAGGAUGCAAGCGUUAUCCGGAACUGAUUGGGCGUAAAGCGUCUGUAGGUGGCUUUUCAAGUCCGCCGUCAAAUCCCAGGGCUCAACCCUGGACAGGCGGUGGAACUACCAAGCUGGAGUACGGUAGGGGCAGAGGGAAUUUCCGGUGGAGCGGUGAAAUGCAUUGAGAUCGGAAAGAACACCACGGCGAAAGCACUCUGCUGGGCCGACACUGACACUGAGAGACGAAAGCUAGG